CGACCUACGGGACGCAGCAGUGGGGAAUAUUGCACAAUGGGGGAAACCCUGAUGCAGCGACGCCGCGUGAGUGAAGAAGUAUCUCGGUACGUAAAGCUCUAUCAGCAGGGAAGAAAAUGACGGUACCUGACCAAGAAGCCCCGGCUAAUUACGUGCCAGCAGCCGCGGUAAUACGUAGGGGGCAAGCGUUAUCCGGAUUUACUGGGUGUAAAGGGAGCGUAGACGGCAGCGCAAGUCUGGAGUGAAGUGCCGGGGCUCAACCCCGGAACUGCUUUGGAAACUUUGCAGCUAGAGUGCGGGAGAGG
rnacentral:rRNA from 1 species